GAUGAACGCUGGCGGCGUGCCUAACACAUGCAAGUCGAGCGAGGGUUUGCUCAGUAUUGAGUAUUCUAAGUCUAGAAUGUUCAAUUCUGAGCAAAACCAAGCGGCGGACGGGUGAGUAACGCGUGGGUAACCUGCCCUAUACACAUGGAUAACAUACUGAAAAGUUUACUAAUACAUGAUAAUAUAUAUUUGCGGCAUCGCAGAUAUAUCAAAGUGUUAGCGGUAUAGGAUGGACCCGCGUCUGAUUAGCUAGUUGGUGAGAUAACUGCCCACCAAGGCGACGAUCAGUAGCCGACCUGAGAGGGUGAUCGGCCACAUUGGAACUGAGACACGGUCCAAACUCCUACGGGAGGCAGCAGUGGGGAAUAUUGCACAAUGGGCGAAAGCCUGAUGCAGCAACGCCGCGUGAACGAUGAAGGUCUUCGGAUCGUAAAGUUCUGUUGCAGGGGAAGAUAA
rnacentral:rRNA from 1 species